rnacentral:rRNA from 1 species
CCUAGGGGAGGCUGCAGUGGGGAAUAUUGGACAAUGGGCGAAAGCCUGAUCCAGCCAUGCCGCGUGUGUGAAGAAGGCCUUCGGGUUGUAAAGCACUUUCAGUGGGGAAGAAAGCCUUGGGGCUAAUACCCUCGAGGAAGGACAUCACCCACAGAAGAAGCACCGGCUAACUCCGUGCCAGCAGCCGCGGUAAUACGGAGGGUGCGAGCGUUAAUCGGAAUUACUGGGCGUAAAGCGCGCGUAGGCGGUCUGAUAAGCCGGUUGUGAAAGCCCCGGGCUCAACCUGGGAACGGCAUCCGGAACUGUCAGGCUAGAGGGCAGGAGAGGAAGGUAGAAUUCCCGGUGUAGCGGUGAAAUGCGUAGAGAGCGGGAGGAAUACCAGUGGCGAAGGCGGCCUUCUGGACUGACACUGACGCUGAGGUGCGAAAGCGUGGGUAGCAAACAGGAUUAGAUACCCUUGUAGUC